GAGAGAACAAGUUCAUGCCAGUGGAAUCAGAAGUCUCUGUGGAAUACUACUGUUGGCCUACCUCCUACUAAAUGAUCAAAAACAAGUGCUCACAGCAAUCCAAUACUAUUUGUCUCUCUCCUUGUUAGCUCCCAUUUUGUUCUAUAAAUACCCUCAUUCUCUAUGUUACAAUUCCCUUUCCCCUCCCCCCCCUUCCUCUUCUCUUGCUUAGUUCUCUUGAGGUUCUAUUCUGCUUCAAGUUCUUAAUUCCUACCUCACUAUGUCGCAAAUCCUAAGUGCAGAGAUUUUCGCUUGACAUCUAGCUCUUGAUGUUUUUUCCUGAUUGUUCCUCCCAGAAGUAAAAAUUCUCCUGUUUUGUUUAUGAUAACUGAUACUCUACUGCGCAUGACCAAUCUUGCACAAUCCUUCUCUGUGGCCUUCCUUUACUGGUUCUAUGUUUUCCAAGAGUUAUGCAGGCAGUGAUGGACAGGAAGAAACGGAAGCGAAUGUUAUCGAAUCGAGAAUCAGCAAGGCGAUCCCGGAUGCGCAAGCAGAAGAAACUGUCCGAUCUGAUUGCAGAAGUGAACCAACUGAAGAAGGAGAACAGCCAAAUCUUAACAGUCUUGAGCAUCACCACGCGACGCUACUCCACUUUGGAGGCUCAGAAUUUCAUUCUCAAGGCCCAGCUGAUGAAGCUCAGCAGUGAACUUCAGUAUUUCAGUAAGAUGUCACACAACAUUACAAGUAACAGCUUUAGCAGCAACAUGGCCUUGUGUGAUCGACCUCACCUCAUGGAAAGCUUCACAAGUUCCUCCAAUAUGGGAUAUAUAAGUCAGCUUAUCAUAGCUUCAGCAGAAGACAUGCUUUACUAUUGAGAUAUAAUAAGCUAAUAAUGGAGCAUGUAAGUUUCUAACUAGGAGGGAACCUGGUUUAUGCCAAGUGUAUGACUACUAAUUUGCUAUGUUUAUUGGGAGCUUGGGAUUUAUUGAUUAGUUAUGA